AGAACUGUAGCUCAGCGGUGGAACAUCUGCCUUUCAUGUAGGAGGCCCCAGGUCCAAUCCUUGGCAUCUCCA